GUGAGGAAUAUUGCGCAAUGGAGGCAACUCUGACGCAGCCAUGCCGCGUGCAGGAAGAAGGCGCUACGCGUUGUAAACUGCUUUUAACCGGGAAGAAACCCCAGGACGUGUCCUGGGUUGACGGUACCGGAGGAAUAAGCACCGGCUAACUUCGUGCCAGCAGCCGCGGUAAUACGAAGGGUGCAAGCGUUAUCCGGAUUCAUUGGGCUUAAAGGGUGCGUAGGCGGAGCGUUAAGUCAGUGGUGAAAUCCUGCAGCUUAACUGUAGACUUGCCAUUGAGACUGGCGCUCUUGAGUGCGCUUGAAGUGGGCGGAAUGUGCCGUGUAGCGGUGAAAUGCUUAGAUAUGGCACAGAACACCAAUUGCGAAGGCAGCUCACUAAGGCGAUACUGACGCUGAGGCACGAAAGCGUGGGGAUCGAACAGGAUUAGAAACCCGUGUAGUCC
rnacentral:rRNA from 1 species